rnacentral:rRNA from 1 species
UAUGGCUCAGGAUGAACGCUAGCUACAGGCUUAACACAUGCAAGUCGAGGGGCAGCAUGAGAUUAGCUUGCUAAUCUUGAUGGCGACCGGCGCACGGGUGAGUAACGCGUAUCCAACCUUCCCCCUACUCAGGCAUAGCCCGGUGAAAACCGGAUUAACUCCUGAUAGUUUCACUAGAUGGCAUCUGACGGUGAAGUAAAGCUCAGCGGUAAGGGAUGGGGAUGCGUCUGAUUAGCUUGUUGGCGGGUAACGGCCCACCAAGGCGACGAUCAGUAGGGGUUCUGAGAGGAAGGUCCCCCACAUUGGAACUGAGACACGGUCCAAACUCCUACGGGAGGCAGCAGUGAGGAAUAUUGGUCAAUGGGCGCGAGCCUGAACCAGCCAAGUAGCGUGCAAGGAUGACGGCCCUAUGGGUUGUAAACUGCUUUUGUAUGGGAAUAAAGUCAGGGACGUGUCCCUGUUUGCAUGUACCAUAAGAAUAAGGACCGGCUAAUUCCGUGCCAGCAGCCGC